rnacentral:rRNA from 1 species
AACGCUGGCGGCGUGCUUAACACAUGCAAGUCGAACGAAGUGCUUACGACAGAUUCCUUCGGGAUGAAGACGUAAGUAUCUUAGUGGCAAACGGGUGAGUAACGCGUGAGAAACCUGCCUUAUACAAAGGGAUAGCCUCGAGAAAUCGGGAUUAAUACCUUAUGAUACUUGAACUACACAUGUAGAACAAGUUAAAGCGUAAAGCGGUAUAAGAUGGUCUCGCGUCCCAUUAGCUAGUUGGUGAGGUAACUGCUCACCAAGGCAACGAUGGGUAACCGGUCUGAGAGGAUGAACGGUCACACUGGGACUGAGACACGGCCCAGACUCCUACGGGAGGCAGCAGUGGGGAAUAUUGCACAAUGGAGGAAACUCUGAUGCAGCGACGCCGCGUGAAUGAUGAAGGCUUUCGAGUCGUAAAAUUCUGUCCUUGGGGAAGAUAGUGACGGUACCCAAGGAGGAAGCCCCGGCUAACUACGUG